AGUGUAGGCGGCUAUUUAAGUCUGAUGUGAAAGCCCCGGGCUCAACCUGGGAAUUGCAUUCGAAACUGGGUAGCUAGAGUUUGGUAGAGGUAAGUGGAAUUCCAGGUGUAGCGGUGAAAUGCGUAGAUAUCUGGAGGAACAUCAGUGGCGAAGGCGGCUUACUGGACCAAAACUGACGCUGAGGCUCGAAAGCGUGGGGAGCAAACAGGAUUAGAUACCCUGGUAGUCC
rnacentral:rRNA from 1 species